GUCUGUGACCAUUCCACCCUGAAAGUGCCCUAUCUUGUCUGAUCUCAGAAGGUAAGCAGGAUAGGGCCUGGUUAGUACUCGGAUGAAAGACCACCUAGAAAUACCAGGCGCUGUAGGUG
ensembl:rRNA 5S_rRNA 5S ribosomal RNA